UACGAAGGGUGCAAGCGUUAAUCGGAAUUACUGGGCGUAAAGGGUGCGUAGGCGGUUCGUUAAGUCUGUCGUGAAAUCCCCGGGCUCAACCUGGGAAUGGCGAUGGAUACUGGAUAGCUAGAGUGUGUCAGAGGAUGGUGGAAUUCCCGGUGUAGCGGUGAAAUGCGUAGAGAUCGGGAGGAACAUCAGUGGCGAAGGCGGCCAUCUGGGACAACACUGACGCUGAAGCACGAAAGCGUGGGGAGCAAACAGG
rnacentral:rRNA from 1 species